UGUCAUACUGACCGUGUAUCUUGAGUGGUUGUGUUUUCGCUAUCGAGCAAAAUGUCUCAGGUGUAUGAAAACAUCUUUCGUGACGCUGCGAAAGAUUUCAGAAUUUCGGAGGAUUGCCUGAUUUCAGGCUACUGUAAUUCGUUGGAGGAGGUGGAAACACUUCUCGAUCAGCUGAAAACUGUGGGGUUUUCAUACUGCGUGAGAAGUAGUCGUUUUAAAGAGCCUUCUUCAGAUGUUAUGAAAAGAAGACCAUGUGACUCCUCGUAAGAGAUUGAGGAUCAUGGAUACUAGAAAAUCCAACUGCCCAGCAACUUUAAAUAUGAAGUGUAUAAGGGUGUAUCCUGAUUACAGUAUGCACUCAGCAAAUGAACACAGGGAUACCAAGGCAAAAGUUCUUGCAAGUCUACAGAAAGAUUUGGCAUUGCCAUGCCCGCCUAAGAGCUAUCUACAUUAUUAUUUGACUGCUUCCCCAGCAAGUGCACACACACAUGCUACUGAAAGUGUUGAAGCAAGUGGGUACAUACAUCCUUCACAUGUAAAGGAAAUCAAAAACUUAGUACUCAGUGGCAUGACAUCUCUCAGAGUCAUUAAGUUGGCUCUAGACAGAUUUGUUGAAAUCAAUUUCACUGGGACACACAUACCAGGUCAAAUGAAUACUACCUUUUACCCCACAGAGAAAACUAUUUAGUCACAUUUAUCGGACCCUUUAUGGUACAAAUAAAGUAUUAUUUGACGAGACUAGACUGCAGAAUCAGGUUGAUGAGUGGCACAAAGACUCGAGCAAUCACAUGAUUUAUUAUAGACAUUGUACGGGAGCGAAUGGAGAAGUGAAACCAUUACUUUUUUGCUAUCAGAGCAGUUGGCAGAGAGAUCUUUUGAAGAAGUAUGGGGGUAGUUGUUUGUUAGAUGCAACAUACAAAACAUCAUCAUAUGAUAUUCCUUUAUUUUUUAUAGCUGUGAAGAGUA